GCGGCCCGGGGCCGCGGCGCGGCGUGGGAGGGACAGUUUAUUGCUUCCUGGCGUGUAAGGUGAAACCAGCCUCCACGACCUCUCGCUCCCCCGCCCCUCCACGCGCACAGACACACGCUCGCUCGCGCGUUUCCCCUCCGCUCGCUCCCUCCCUCGGUCCGCGGCCCGGCUGCCGAAGCAGGUGAGAGCUCUCGCUCGGCUCCCGGCGGCCCUCCCGGGGAGGAGCCGGGCGCCGCGAGCUGAUUCGGCCUGCUCGGGAGGGAAAUGGCAAGUGAGUAGCUGGGUUGAAGUGCUCCUCGGUCGGGCAUUCAAAGCCCUCCAAAUCUGGCCCCACUUUAGCUGUCCAAUCACGGCCGCCUCCAUCCCCCUGCAAGAACUCCCCGCUCCAAUCAGUGGAGUCUCCAUGCCAUCCUCGGCGCGCAGCAGAUUCAUUCUUCCUUGGUGCCUUUGCCCAUGCCGCUCCCCACCCCCUUUGCCAGGAGUGCCCUCCCUGCCUUAGACUCCCGAUUCAGCCCGGGCCCCGAGACGCGGCUCAAGUCGCGGCUUGUCAGGGUCCCUGGCAGCCAAGGCCCCUCCUGUUCCUCGAAGAAACACAUGUAACACAACAUGGAGGCACAAGGCUUCAGCCAAGAGCUCUUCCUCUGCAGCCAUCUGAACCCACCCUCAGCCCUCUUCCCAUUCAUACUUGGAGAGCUUUGCUGGCAGAGGGCGAGACUCCCUGCCUCCUCCAGCGGAUCAUCCCUUCUCCAAGAGCAGAAUUGGCUUUUCUAGGUGGGGCUGGUCGGGAAGGCUGAGCGCCUGGGUGUAGAAGACAACGGCCAAAGCCUCUGGCACAAGAUGGAACAGCUGCGCAGCUCCCACUGACCUUUCUGUGUGCCUGUGGCUGUCGUGAGCCUCCGGCUCCUAACUUUUCUGACCGUGUUUCUGUCAGACUUCUUCCUGUCAGAUUUUCUUGGCCACUUUCCUGGAUGGACUUUGAGCUAGGAGCCUCUGCCACCUUUCAGACUUCCAGUGGGUGGUGAAUCUGAUUGGCGUGGGCUGCUUGGUCUUUUGAGUGCUCUGUUCCCUGCCUUGGCCUGAAACUCUCUUGCUUUUGUCGGUGUGGCCUCAGGCCUGGUUCACAGACUCACUCUGAGUGUUUGCACCUGGAUGGGUGGAGGGAGCAAAAUACGGUUCCUUCCUGAGGAUCCAGACUGCGUUCCAAGUACCCAGUGUGUGAAUUGUAUCACACAAACGAGCCCCCUUUUUCACAACCUCGGGACACCCCGGCUUUAGGCUAAGUGUAAGCUACUAUUAAAUCCAUCUCGCACAUGUACCAGUGUGUCCUGCAUAUACUGCGUUUUCCCGGCGCUAACUGACAGGUAUUAUUGUUCACAGUGGCAUAACUGAAGAAUAGCUAAUGCUCCAUGAGUACUUACUGUGCCAUAGUCGCCCUUUCUGUACGCGGUUAUAAUUAUGCUUUCUGAAACUAAGUCAUAUAGAUACUCUUAUUCUGUGCGUUUUACAGAUGAAACAAAAGCUUAGAAAAGGUAAGUGGCAUUCUUAGUUAUCAGCUUAACUAAAUGUAAGAGUCGGGUUUAAAUUGUGAAGGUUGGUUUUAGACCCAGCAAGACGUUGUUGAAGCCAGGAUUGUAACGGAAGAUCUUGAAUGCAUAUUUAUAAAUUCUGUAGCUGUGGAGAAGGUGAUAUAAAAAGACAAGGGGAAAGUGGCCCAGACCCCUUUUUCUAAAUUUUUUUUAACCUCCUGAAGGGAGAAUGAUGGGUUCACAUUGCCACACCCUGAUGGGGAGAAUCAUCAAAGAAAGGUAAGUGAGACGUGCUAAAGAUCUUAAGAAAAGGAAGUCGAGAACCGAAAUGUCUUUAAAAUAACUUCACUACCGGGUGUCACACAGGCUGGCUUCCCGAGGGCAACUUUGCAGUUUUUUAAUAGGUUCCAUAAAGAGCCACGUACCCCACCGUCGCCACUAGAGGGCUCAGCAGAGCUACAGCCCCGACUUGCCCUCUAGCGGCGAUUCUGAACGAAGUAUGUUUACGCAGACCUGAGGCCUUCAGGGACUGGCAGCAGGGCAGUUGGAGCAGACAUCUGGAACCAUUAGGUUCAACCAACCAUGAGAGGGUUUGCAUAUCGUCACAGACUCAAGAGAUCCCAUUGCCAGAAUGAGAGAUACAUAAUUUCAGGAAAAGAAGGAUCAUUGCUUACAUUAAACAUCUAGCAGGUGUAACUGUAUGUGUGUGAUACAGGGAAGACAAGCUCUGAAUGUGGGUGGCACGAUCCCAUUGGCUGGUUUCCAGGACUGAACAAAGUGAGGGAAAAGGAGAAGGCCAGGCUGACAUCUGGUGCUGAGACUGGAGCCUCAGUGCUAAAGGAAUGCAGGCCAGGCCGUUGUUCUCAAAGAAAACAGUCAGCUAUGUCCAGUUUCUCAUGUGGAUACAGAUCUCCCGGAUGGGCCAGGCUUGACGCUCACUCUAAAGGGGCUUGUCGCUACCACCCUUAGCCCCAGACCAUGCAGCGAGCUGACUUCGCCCAUGCCUGAUCAGGCUGCAGCUGGAACUCGGCUCCAGAGCCAGAUCAAAGGCCAGUGCUUCGGGCUAGCCCAGGAGCAGCCCAGGAGGGCUGCCGCAGCCCUCGCAGAAACAGGCAGCGGCCGCAUCCUGCGUUCUCCGCGGUUGCCGUGUUCACCGACCGGCAAUCAGGUCCGGGGGGGAAAAGGGGAGCCCUUUCCUUCCCCGGUGCUACAGCCGAAAAUAAACCACAAACCUCGGUCGACCUUUUCUGAA